GUAGAUUAUCUGCCCUCAGGUCCGGGAUAGCUGCGGGAAACUGCAGGUAAUACCGGAUAACAUCUCCGGAUCAAAGGUGUGAUUCCGCCUGAGGAUGAGUCUACAUCCUAUUAGCUAGUUGGCAGGGUAAUGGCCUACCAAGGCUUUGAUGGGUAGCGGGUGUGAGAGCACGACCCGCGUCAUUGGGACUGAGACACUGCCCAGACACCUACGGGUGGUUGCAGUCGAGAAUCUUCGGCAAUGGGCGCAAGCCUGACCGAGCGACGCCGCGUGCGGGAUGAAGGCCUUCGGGUUGUAAACCGCUGUCAGAGGGGAUGAAAUGCAGGUGGGUUCUCCCAUUUGUUUGACAUAGCCUCAGAGGAAGGACGGGCUAAGUUCGUGCCAGCAGCCGCGGUAAGACGAACCGUCCAAACGUUAUUCGGAAUUACUGGGCUUAAAGGGUGCGUAGGCGGCGCGGAAAGUUGGGUGUGAAAUCCCUCGGCUCAACCGAGGAACUGCGCUCAAUACUACCGUGCUC
rnacentral:rRNA from 1 species